UCUAUGCUAGCAUAUAUUAAUGCCCUGAUUUUGUAAAUCAAUUAACCAUCAUAGAU
rnacentral:tRNA from 1 species